AUACUUACCUGGCAGGGGAGACACCAUGAUCACGAAGGUGGUUUUCCCAGGGUGAGGUUCAUCCAUUGUACUCUGGGUGUGCUGACCCCUGCGAUUUCCGGGAAAUGUAAAGUAAAAGGGAUGAAUAAUGGAGCACAAAUUUAAUUCAGAAACCCUUUGGCUAUAUUCUCA